UACAGAGGGUGCGAGCGUUGUCCGGAAUCACUGGGCGUAAAGGGCGCGUAGGCGGCUUGAUAAGCGUGCGGUGAAAGCCCGGGGCUCAACCCCGGGUCGGCCGUGCGAACUGUCGAGCUGGAGCACUGUAGAGGCAGGUGGAAUUCCGGGUGUAGCGGUGGAAUGCGUAGAGAUCCGGAAGAACACCGGUGGCGAAGGCGGCCUGCUGGGCGAGUGGCUGACGCUGAGGCGCGGACAGCGUGGGGAGCAAACAGG
rnacentral:rRNA from 1 species